AUGCAGAGUGGAUUCAGCAGGUCUGAAAAAGGGCCUGAGUCUACCUUUCUAACAAGAUCCCAGCUGAAGCCAAUGCUGCUGCUCACAGACCACACUUUCUAUAGCAAACAUUAAACUCUGGUGGAGGCGGUAAUCAAGAGGACGUGACCACCGGUUAACCAGCGAGCUUGACCAGGGCAAUCAGAGACUCCUCCCUCUUCCUGUGUCCUUGGAAUGUGCCGGAAGGAUCUAGUCACUGGGAACCUAUUCUAGCCUGGAGUCCAUAGAAGACUCAGUUUGGUGACAGCCUAUGAGCAGAUGCCUUAUUUGCAAACACACUCCCGGGAAACAAAGAAUAAUGAGAAAAGAAGAAUGAGACCAGAAAAGAGGAAGAACAAAUAAAAGGAGUUGUGUUUCCGAGCUGUCCGCAGCUCUGUAACCACCAGAGCUGAUCAUUCAGUCCUGUGGGCAGCAUCCUGAGAAACUUUACAAACUAUUGUUUCUUUGAGCAGACCAUCUUGGGACAGCAAGGAAUUAUUGCUGUGGCUUUGCCAGCCAGAUUUCAGAAGCAAGGCAAGUGCGGGAACCUGAGAUGGCCUGGAAUGACAAGAUCCUGAAAGGAAUAACAGUGGCCCUAUUUGAAGCUUUGUCCACGGCCUCAAAGCUAGAUAAGCUUUCCUCUCCACUCCAAGACCCUCAGAUCCCACCAGGAUUAAAGGAGAACAACAUUGAUUCCUGUCUCCCUGAGGUCAUAGUGCACCUCUUUAGUUGCCUUUCCAGGUUUCGCUAGUGUGCCUAUCCAGGUCAUGGUCUCACUCCAGAAAGAAGGAGAAAAGGCAGCUAGGAGGAAGAAGAACCAGGGAUGUCUGCAUAUGUUGUCAUCUUGGUAGGAUCUACGCAGUUUAUUGCUUUUAAAUAGCACUUGUUUUAGACAUAAAAUCCUAUAGCUGUCAUAUAUUCUGCAAAUGUAUUUACCACAAUUAGUUACAUUUUAUUCCUAUGUGUUAUUUAUUUUUUCCUUGAGCGAGAGGAUUUGGUGGGUAUAUGAGUGUCUUUGAG
rnacentral:lncRNA from 1 species